rnacentral:rRNA from 1 species
UACGUAGGGUGCAAGCGUUUAAUCGGAAUUACUGGGCGUAAAGCGUGCGUAGGCGGUGAUGUAAGACAGGUGUGAAAUCCCCGGGCUUAACCUGGGAACUGCGCUUGUUACUGGCAGGCUUGAGUGUGGCAGAGGGGGGUGGAAUUCCGACGUUGUAGCAGUGAAAUGCGUAGAGAUGUGGAGGAACACCGAUGGCGAAGGCAGCCCCCUGGGCUAACACUGACGCUCAUGCACGAAAGCGUGGGGAGCAAACAGG